rnacentral:rRNA from 1 species
ACACCGUAACUUCGGGAGAAGGUGUGCCCUCACUACGUGAACCUGAACAAGGGGAGCGGACGGGGGUUGCAGAGAAUCGGGGGUAGCGACUGUUUAUCAAAAACACAGCACUCUGCGAAGUCGCAGGACGACGUAUAGGGUGUGAUGCCUGCCCGGUGCUGGAAGGUUAAAGAGAGAACUCAGGCGCAAGCCAAAGGUUCGAACUGAAGCCCCAGUAAACGGCGGCCGUACCUAUAACGGUCCUAAGGUAGCGAAAUUCCUUGUCGGGUAAGUUCCGACCUGCACGAAUGGCAUAACGACUUCCCCACUGUCUCGAGCAGGGACUCAGCGAAGUAGCACUAGGGGUGAAGAUACCCUUUACCCACGGCAGGACGGAAAGACCCCGUGAACCUUCACUACAGCUUGACAUUGAUUGACGAAGUUGUUUGCGUAGUCUAGGUGGGACGCUUUGAAGCAGGGACUCCGGUCUUUGUGGAGCGGCAAUAUGAAAAACCACCCUGAUAACUUUGGCAAUCUAACCUGCACCCGUGAGCCGGGUGGGGACACUGUCUGGUGGUAGUUUGACUGGGGCGGUCGCCUCCCAAAAAGUAACGGAGGCGCGCGAAGGUCCCCUCAGCCUGAUUGGAAACCAGGCGUCGAGUGUAAACACAUAAGGGGGCUUGACUGCGAGUCCGACGAGACGAGCAGGUACGAAAGUAGGUGUUAGUGAUCCGGUGGCUCCAUAUGGAAGGGCCAUCGCUCAACGGAUAAAAGGUACUCCGGGGAUAACAGGCUUAUCACGUCCAAGAGUUCACAUCGACGACGUGGUUUGGCACCUCGAUGUCGGCUCAUCGCAUCCUGGGCUGAAAUCGGUCCCAAGGGUUUAGCUGUUCGCUAAUUAAAGCGGUACGCGAGCUGGGUUCAGAACGUCGUGAGACAGUUCGGUCCCUAUCCGUCGUGGGCGCAGGAUACUUGAGAGGAGCUGACUUUAGUACGAGAGGACCGAGUUGGACAGACCGCUAGUGUUCCGGUUGUGGCGCCAGCUGCAUCGCCGGGUAGCUAUGUCUGGACUGGAUAACCGCUGAAAGCAUCUAAGCGGGAAGCCACCCUCGAGAUUAGGUAUCCCGAGCCGUAAGGCUCCUGAAGACCCCACGUAGACUACGUGGUUGAUAGGCUGGGUGUGGAAGUACAGCAAUGUAUGGAGCUAACCAGUACUAAUCGGUCGUGUGGCUUGACCAC